UAUGUUUUAGUAUAUGAUGUACAGGAAUUUUUGAUUUUUCUGGAAAUAGUUUGAUUCUGUUAAACAUAA
rnacentral:tRNA from 1 species